ensembl:rRNA 5S_rRNA 5S ribosomal RNA
UACUACAGCCAUUCCACCCUGAAUGCGCCCAAUCUCAUCUGAUCUCCGAAGCUAAGCAGGGUCGGGCCUAGCCAGUAUUUGGAUGGGAGGCCGCCUGGGAAUACCAGGUCUGUAGGCU